UACGAAGGGGGCUAGCGUUGUUCGGAAUUACUGGGCGUAAAGGGCGCGUAGGCGGCUGUACAAGUCAAAGGUGAAAUCCCUCGGCUCAACUGAGGAACUGCCUUUGAAACUGUACGGCUUGAGGCCGGGAGGGGGUAGCGGAAUUCCCAGUGUAGCGGUGAAAUGCGUAGAUACUGGGAGGAACACCAGUGGCGAAGGCGGCUACCUGGACCGGUUCUGACGCUGAGGCGCGAAAGCGUGGGUAGCAAACAGG
rnacentral:rRNA from 1 species